rnacentral:rRNA from 1 species
GACGAAGGAUGCAAGCGUUAUCCGGAUUCAUUGGGUUUAAAGGGAGCGUAGGUGGUCUUAUAAGUCAGUGGUGAAAUCUCUCGGCUUAACUGAGAAAUUGCCAUUGAUACUGUAGGGCUUGAGUACAGUUGCUGUGUGCGGAAUAUGACAUGUAGUGGUGAAAUACAUAGAGAUGUCAUAGAACACCGAUUGCGAAGGCAGCUCACAAAACUGUAACUGACACUGAGGCUCGAAAGUGCGGGGAUCAAACAGG